rnacentral:rRNA from 1 species
UACGGGGGGGGCAAGCGUUGUUCGGAAUUACUGGGCGUAAAGGGCUCGUAGGCGGCCAACUAAGUCAUACGUGAAAUCCCUCGGCUUAACCGGGGAACUGCGUCUGAUACUGGAUGGCUUGAGUUCGGGAGAGGGAUGCGGAAUUCCAGGUGUAGCGGUGAAAUGCGUAGAUAUCUGGAGGAACACCGGUGGCGAAGGCGGUUCUCUGGGCCUGUACUGACGCUGAGGAACGAAAGCGUGGGGAGCGAACAGG